CUGCGAGCGAACUGGGAAGAGCUCAUGGCGAAAUCCGCCGUCGUUGCGACGGUCCGGAUAUUUCGCGUAUAGGAGAGACGCUUCCGAACGUCGACGCCGGUGUAAGUCCCCCUGACUGGGGCUCCUACCCCGAGAGGGUGCAAGGCCCGUAGCGGCCGGCGUCGGCUUCGGAUGUCCUCUCCGGGGAGUCGGGUUGCUUGAGAGUGCAGCCCCAAUCGGGUGGUAAACUCCAUCUAAGGCUAAAUACGACCCGGAGACCGAUAGCGAACAAGUACCGUGAGGGAAAGUUGAAAAGGACUUUGAAGAGAGAGUUCAAGAGUACGUGAAACCGUUCGAAGGUAAACGAGUGGGCCCUCGAAGCCGUAAGGCGGGGGGACUCAGCCGGGCGCCUCCGGCCCGCCGUCGCGCGCGCGCUUCCCCACCGGGACGCGCCGCGGCGGAACCGGCCGGGGUUCCCGGCGCAUUUCCUCCCGCCCUCGGACGCUGCGACCGGUCGCGCGUGCCACGAGCGGUCGGCCUUACUCGCGGGGACCGGCAGG
rnacentral:rRNA from 1 species